GGUCGGAAUCAAGGGGUCUGGAAACGGUUUCGGAACUUUACGAAGAAUCAGGGACCCACACGUUGGCGCCUAGAAUCUCCUGGUUCUGACAAAAAGGCCAACAAGCAAAAAAGCAGCAGUUGACAACUUCAGAUGCAGCAAAGUGUAAACCGUGGUCGAACCGGGCUGGAAGGACGAUGG